rnacentral:rRNA from 1 species
UGAGCAAUCUGCCCUUCACAUCGGAAUAACCAUUGGAAACGACGUCUAAUGCCGAAUACGACCUCCUUUCGCAUGAUCGGAGGUGGAAAGCUCCGGCGGAGAAGGAUGAGCUCGCGGCCUAUCAGCUUGUUGGUGGGGUAGUGGCCUACCAAGGCGACGACGGGUAGCCGGCCUGAGAGGGUGACCGGCCACACUGGGACUGAGACACGGCCCAGACUCCUACGGGAGGNAG